AAGUGCAAAUAGUAGAAUAGAUCAAAUCAAAUAAAAAAAAAAUCAAGAAAUCAUCUACUAUAUAUGAAGAAGAUGUUGGGAUGUGGUAGAAUUAAUUGGAUGGUUAUGAUUAUAAUUUUAUGGCUUUUGAUGUCAAAAAUAGUGAAAAUGGAGGAUGAAGUUGCACCAACAACAGAUGUUUAUGGUUGUUGGGGAGGAUGUUACAAUAAUUGUUUUCUUCUUCAAAAAAAUAGUGAUGAUGAUAAAACUUAUCAAUGCUAUUACAAUUGUUUGAACAAUUGCACUCCUAUUAGUACUCCUACUUCUUCUACAACAUCAUCCCCUUCAAAUUAUGGGAGUUUAUGCCAAGGUGGUUGUUUCUUGAUGAUUUGCAUCCCACUUAGCUUUGGUGGUGCAAAUAUUGGAAAUUGCUUGGCAAAUUGUGGAAACCUCUGCAAAUUUUUCAACACAUUCACAAAUAUGAAGCUAAAAGAUUAAGUAGUCAAUUUGCUUUAUGUGUACUCUUAAGAACUUCCUUCAAACUUACUAAGUGAAAUUACCAGCUUACCCUUCAUGUA